rnacentral:tRNA from 1 species
GCGCCCGUAGCUCAGCUGGAUAGAGCGUUUGACUUCGAAUCAAAAAGUCACAGGUUCGAAUCCUGUCGGGCGUGCCA